rnacentral:rRNA from 1 species
CGUAGGCGCAAGCGUUGUCCGGAUUUAUUGGGCGUAAAGAGCUCGUAGGUGGUCUGUCGCGUCCGCUGUAGAAAACCCCGAGGCUCAACCUCGGGCCUGCAGUGGGUACGGGCAGACUAGAGUGCGGUAGGGGAGACUGGAAUUCCUGGUGUAGCGGUGGAAAUGCGCAGAUAUCAGGAGGAACACCGAUGGCGAAGGCAGGUCUCUGGGCCGCAACUGACACUGAGGAGCGAAAGCAUGGGAGCGAACAGGAUU